GCGCCUCACCUUGGUUCACCAGGCGCAGGGCGUGCGUGAAGGAGGGGUCCAGGGAGUCCUUCUCCGCCAUCAGCUCGGGCAGCUGUAACUCCAGGGACGCUGGGCAGACACCCACCUGUGGACUCCUCACUGCUGGACAUGGUGCUUCGCCCCGGCCCGGCCAACUGAGUGAAGGACCUGUGACCGUCGCACCUCUGUUUCUGACCUGGGCCCAGCGUCAGGCUUGUAGGCUGCUUGUGCUGCUCUUCUCAAUCCCAGACCAUCUGCCCCGGUGACAGUCCAGACCUUGAGGAAUCACUAUUUUUAUUAAGUGCCAGCCCUAUGUUUACGUCUUCGGAUUCACUAUGGUCCUCGCAACACCCUGUAAGGAAAAUUCUAUUGAUCACCACUUACAAAGAAGGAAACUGAGGCCCGGGGCAGUUUAAUACCACCUUGCUUAAGGCUCCACAGCUGUCAGCGGGGAUCCUAGGCCCACCUGACUCUCUGACCCUUCUUUCUCUCCCUUGCUGGUUCUGCCUUCCCAGGUGGCAAUCUGGGACGCUCCUGACUGGCUCUUCAUCCCUCCCUGAUCUGAGCUGGCAGAGUCAGUCCACCAGCAGCUGUGGAGGAGGGCUAUGCACUGGGAAACUGACAGCAAGGGCACUGAAUCUUCUGCUCCAGACCCUCCUUCUCCGAGAACCUUCCAAGAGGGCAGGUGCCAAGCACUGUGAGUGCUCAUGCAAGGUCCUCCAGGGAGGAGGGAGAUGAAUGUCUCCGUGAGAUGCUCAGGAAAUUGUCCCCACCCACCAACCUGGCUGAGCUGUUGGCUGUGGGGCACCUCCAUGCCAUGCUGCACACUCUGCUCAUCUUCAUGAGAUCACCGUCCUGCAGGCGCUAACCCUCUGAUUCUUUUGAAAAGGAGAAAUCAGGUCUUGGGAAAGGUGGUGAUUUUCCUACAAGCAGCUGCAGGUAGUACUCACACUCAGGUCUUUCGGCUUCCAGGCUGAAAGAGGUCUCUCUAGAAUACACCAGUACUCACUGAGCACAUACUAUGUGCAGAGACUGCUCUGGAUACAGGGGACAUAGCCAUGGACAGAACAGACUUCUCCAAAGGCCCUUAAGGCCAGGGCACUGGGGCUGCUUACUCCAUCUGCAGAGUUUGUGGUUAGACUGACCAGACGCUCAGGUCUGGACGGGAAGCCCCGCACUGCAAUAAGGAACUGUGGCUGCUCUUUCUUCUCACAUCCAGGUCUGGGACUAGCCUCUCAGCCCCAGAGACAAAAGGGUACUUCCCAAACCCACCCCAGCCAGUGACACUGGGCCAUCUCAGAAAACACAGCAAGUCCCUGUGGCCCCAGCCCACCGCCAUGGCACUGUCUGUCAGAAUCCACACCUGCCUCCUCUUCCUGCACCUACUGACUCCUGGGGAGAGAAAGACAAGUCCCUGGCCUUUAUGACACUAACUGCAAUAAGUCAGACACAGCUGCAGCAACUCGAUGUCAUCAGAGGAGACACAAAAUGUAGGGAGUGCGUCUAUGAGGAAGUUUUCAUAUUUGCUGCUCACGCUACAAGCUUCUCACUGCUGCUUACACUACAAGCUUCCUCUUCCUUUUGUUUAAGAAAGGUGAAUCCUAUCCCAGUUACUCCAGAACUCUGCAGUGCCAUACUGUGAAGUCCUAAUCUGACUGCACCAAAGGCCAGAGAGACCUCAGCUUGGCCCCAGCUGCCUUGCUUACUAUCCUCCUCACAGGAUCAUUUUGAGGUUGAAACUGAAGCAUUAAGCUCACAUAGGCACCACGUGCAUUUUAAAGCUUUUCCACUCUCCGUCCUCUCCACCAGCAUUGUUUGUGCUCCUGGUCACACUUAACACAUCUGGCCCUGGUCAUCUGUGGACCCCUUUGCCUUCACACUGUCCUCAGAGCCUGCUCAGCUGCCCAGCCCAGUGCCUGGUCCAGAGGUCAGUUCACAGCAAGCACUCAGCAUUCAUUCUGGAUCCGUGUCUCCUAAAAUGCAGUCCCGGAACAGCACUGCUACCCAGCCAUCUGAGGCCAAUUCAUUUGUCAUGUAAGGCAGGCACCAAAAGAUGGCACAUCCUUACCUAGAAAUCAGUCAUUUAUGUGUCAGGGAGGAAGAUAAGAGUGUUCACUCUGAUCCCUGACUCCAGUCAGUUACAGCAGGAAAUACUUCUUCAAAACUUGUAACUGUGGCUGAAAAGCCUUGACACAAGUGGGGGAGGACACAAAGCAACUCUUCAAAGUUGGGAGACUUCACACAGUUCAAAGCCCCAUGUAGAUCUGGAGUGCCUUCACCAAGGACUAUUUGGUCUGUGAGUGGCUCUCUUGUAUUUUACUCAAACAAGCUCCAAAAAUCUCCCUCAUUCAGGUAGUCACAAGCCACCACUUUUUAGAGAUGAGGAAACUGUUGCUCAGAAGGUUUAAGUGACUCAGAGAUAGUAAGUGGAGAAUUGGACACAUGCUUGCAUGCGUAUACACACACACAUACACAUGCACGCGCGUGCGCACACACACAAACACACACACGCACAAACACACUCCCCCCAAUGUGAGGAUGGAUAGAAUCAGACUUUCAAUCCAGUCACUCACAUACCUGAAGACACCUGUCUUUCUGUCUCUAUCCAUCUGCCCUGCAAAUCUAUACCCUCCUCUCAGUAUUUGGUGGAUGGAAACCUCAGUUUCUCUCGUCAGCUCUCUUCUUUGACAAGAGAAUCGAGCCAUCCUGGCUCUUUCUGCAGCUUAAAAAAAAGAAAAAAAAUUUAAAAAACCACACACACAGAUAUUGUGCACACACCCCCUAGUGGCCACAUGUGGAAACACAUGCCCCACAAAGUGCAUUGGGGUUGAUAACCACUUGGGUUUAAGAAGGAAACCCCAGAUAGGACUGCAACUCCAUCCUAGGAAGGAGGAUGGUGAAAGAUGACCUUAUGUGGAAGACAGUGAAAAAGGAAAAAGACAAAGAAAAGGGGGGAAGAAAGACAAAUGUGAUGGAGAAAAAUAAGGCAGGAGAACAAAAGGAAGAUUAAAGAAAGAUAUAUAGAAUAGGAGGAGAGAGAGAAAAAAUAAGGCAAGCUUAAAGGAAGGAUGUUUCUCAGUGUGAAGUCUUUCUCUACUUCAAAUAUAAGCACAAAAAGUAAUGAUGGAAAAUAACACGAAUUGGUGUGUCCAGGGUCAGCUGGUCAUCCUGUACACAGGCAGGUGGGGACAGACCAGCCAAGGAUGAGAGGGGACAGGGCUUGUAUCUGACUCCAUCACUGCCUGACUUGGUAAUAUUUUCAGAAUCCAAAGCUUUCUCUGUCCCUAUUUCUGAGCUUGUAAAGGGUAGCUAAUAGCAGUUGUUCUUUCCUAUUUUAUUGAGGUCUGAUGAGAACAAUAAAGAUUUGCAGAGAAAACCCUGAAAAGUGCUCUAAGCUCUUGGACAUAACCAUCACAGAAAUGUGUUUUAUUAUUUUUUCUCAAUGCAGCAAAAACCCUCCAUCCUUUGCUUCCUGGUCUAAAAGGUUAUAUGUGAUGCUGGAGUGCCAAAGUACUUGCUGUAUUUCAACAAUGCGUCAAGUUAUCACCACCUCUGGUGCUUUGGAAGAUGCUGUGAUUUGGAAAGCACUGUCAAAAUGUAAAACAUUAUUGCCACAGUAGUAAAAAUAUCUGUGUCC